GGGGGUAUAGCUCAAUGGUAGAAUGCAUGCUUAGCAUGCACGAGGUCCUGAGUUCACUCCCCAGUGCCUCCA
rnacentral:tRNA from 1 species